rnacentral:rRNA from 1 species
UACGUAGGGGGCAAGCGUUGUCCGGAUUUAUUGGGCGUAAAGAGCGUGUAGGCGGCCUUACAGGUCAGCUGUGAAAACUCGAGGCUCAACCUCGAGACGUCGGUUGAAACCGUAAGGCUAGAGUCCGGAAGAGGAGAGUGGGAUUCCCGGUGUAGCGGUGAAAUGCGCAGAUAUCGGGAAGAACACCCGUGGCUAAGGCGGCUCUCUAGUACGGUACUGACGCUGAGACGCGAAAGCGUGGGGAGCGAACAGG